AUAAGGGAGGGCGGUAAGGCUGGAGGUGGGGCGAAGAAGAAAGUUCUAGUGAAGCCCUUGGCCACUCUUCUGCUCCUCCCCUUUCCUGCUGCUCCUCUUCCUUCCCCUCUUCCCCUCUGUCCCUCCUGAGGAGAGCUGGCUGGAAGGCUUCUUGUGCUCCACAUCCCAGGGCCUGGCUGAUAGGCGCUUGUUCCAGCUGUCAAUCAUUUCUCGUGAAUUCCUGCUUACUCUUUCCUAACCCACCUCACCAACAGUGAGGUCUCAAGGACCAAAGGAGAAAGUCCCUCUUAGAUCCUGUGACCUUCAGGCCUCUGGAAGCCCCCCAAGGUCUAAAGGGACGCUGGACAUGCGUGCAAGUCCUGGAAAGCAAGCAGAGAGGUCUCACCAGGGUGCUUCAGAGGGAUGGCCUGGAGGAAGACCCAUGACCACUUUCUUUUGACAAGUCUUCCCAGGAUUUCAAAAUACCUGGAUCUCGCAAGAAGUAGCUUCACCACGACCCUUCUUAUGCUUCUCAGCACCUACAGAACAAAACUGUCAGCAGGUAUUAAAAAGAGGCAUCGGCCACCCCUGAAGAGCACCACCUGGUUUUGGGUAUGAGCCCCCACUUGCAAGUUUUAUAGUUACAUGGCUUGGGAGCCUCAGAACUGUCCCUUGGAAGUCCAACUUGGUGUGUCCCAAGGCUUGCUGUGAGAUCCUCUGAGGGAGGUUGUUGUAAUGAUGCUGUCAGGAUAGCAUCUCUUAGGUUAGCUAAGGGCCUUAGGUAAAGAUUCGUGUAAAAAUGUCACGGAAGUGUUUGGUUUACACUGGUUUCCUUGGGUUUAAGAAUGAUUGCAUUUGCAAAUCAUUCAGCUGGACUUUUGGCCUUGCUCAAUAUUUUUUGACAGGGCAACUCUUCCGAAUUAUCAUUAUAAGGUUUCCCAAGAAGCCCCUCAUUUUGGGGAACUUUAAAGCUCCUAGUAAAAUACGUAAAUGUUUUAGGUUCUUCUAGAACUUAGAAAAGACAAAGUCCCCUGCCUGUUCACAUCACAACAAACAACUUCAUCAAAAAUGAGCCAGUGCAAGGAGCAUGAAUCUGCAGACGAUAUUAAAUGUUUGGAAAUAACAGUAGGCAGGAUGCCCGGCCUUGUGAAUGGGCCCCCAGCUCCAGUGUCAGGAGGCCUGGGUCAUCUCAUCUGACUCAUUGCUUGCUGGGGAUGAUUCAUACUCCGUUUUUGUGUGUUAGGCCUCACUUCCUUCAUCUCCCCUAUAAAAUGGGCGUGUUUAUUAUUUCUACCACACAGGAGGGGCAAGAGGCUUUAAGAGUCCUUGAUAAUUACACAAAAAUAUUAUUAAAGUAAAAAUAAGCUGCCAGUAUGUUUUCCUUUUUGCUUUCUGGCAGGGCACAGAUAGAGGAGGAGGUGUGGGAAGUUCCCUUAGGCUGCUGCCGUGGCUUCUGGAUGCUGGUUCACUGGCAGCAGCCUGGUAGGAACUGGAAAUGGACGUGAGGGUCAGUCUGCAUGUGGAGGUGGGAGGGAAUCUGGUCCGCUUGAAUGGGAGCAAGAAUCUGAGGAGGUGAGGAGCCUGAAGGCUAAGAAGAAAGACAUGGACAGGGACAGAGUGUGGAGAACUUCAGGGCUGGGCUGGGCCAGCAAGAUGUUCCUGAGGGUUAUAGGCUGUCAACACCGGUCAUUGAACUGGGCUGUGGCAAGAUCUGUAGUGUGUUUCAGUGAGCUCCUGGCUGUUGGACACAGGGCAGCAAUCAGCUGGGUGCUGUCACCGGAAGCAACUUGGCUCCAUUUGAACUUUAUUUUUCCUCCUUUUGGCUUUUGAUAGCUCCGUGGUAGUUCCACCAUGCUGUCACAAUGCAGUGAAGACCAUGGGGAAACUGCAUGUGUGUGUGGUACUUGGAAGGAAGAGGAGGUGGGAAGGAGGUAACUGACUGGUUAGGCACAAAACCAACUCCAGAACCUUGUUCUUUGGGGAGGAAGCUUAGCCCAUCUCAAGAUCAAGAUCAAGUCUAGAAGAAUCUCUGGGUGUCUGGAGCACAAACAUCAUUAUCUAGGCCAAGGCAUGGCACAUCUGCACUUGAGGGCCGGGCUGCUGACCUCUGUCUAGACUUGUCUGUGGUCUACUUCCUAGCCCAUCCAAGACACUCAUAUUGAAAAGACUGCUGUGUCUCCAUUCUACCAGCCAUUCUUUAGCUCCAUGUCCCACAUUUGAGUCCCAGGAAGCUUUACAGUUGCAUGGCUUGGGGGCCUCAGAACUGUCCCUUGGAAGUCCAACUUGGUGUGUCCCAAGGCUUGCUGUGAGAUCCUCUGUAGGAGAUUGUUAUAAUGAUGCUGUCAGGAUAGCAUCUCUCAGGUUACCUAAGGGCCUUAGGUAAAGAUUCGUGUAAAAAUGUCACGAAAGUGUUUGGUUUACACUGGUUUCCUUGGGUUUAAGAAUGAUUGCGCUUGCAAACCUGCUUUACAAUUGGCUUCAGAAACGCUAGUGCUUUGGACAGUGCUGUUUCAAGAAGGCUUCCACACACAAGCAAAGGGAGCAAGUAGAGGUCAGCUACUUGCUUGUUACCCAAGUAAGGUCAGCUACCCUUACUUGUUACCCAAGUAAGGGUAACAAGUAUGGAAAUCAAUGCACUUAAGACCAUUGAACUGACUAAAGCCAACCUAAGACCUAAACCAACCAUGGCACACCAGUCAACAUCAGCUUCCACAGAAAUCACUGAUGUACUAUUCUCGUGUCUGCAGAGCUGUGUUUGGAGAAGCAGCACAUGACGCCAAGGCCAACCAGGAAAAGACAACCUAAGCAGCACCAUAUAGAUCAUGGGGAUUUUUAAGGAGGUGACUGGGUAAAAGGUACAUUUAGCCUAUGUUCCAGGUCCAUUCUGCCCAUUACUGUAUGACCUUGAGAUCCAUGGCUGAUAUGUACUCAACAAUUACGUGGAGGAGUCAGACUUUGAAGUUUUUCCUGGUUCUUUCAUUCUGCUCUUCAUUCAGAAAUGUCAACAUUGCUGUGGAGUGACUGGGUGACAUUCUGCCAGUCUCCCCUGGACUCUCCAGACAAGUUCCCCACCCCCUCCUUCCGAAUAUAGAAGCGAAACAUGAGAUCUUCAGAGAAUUUUUUGUGAUGACUACAAGCAGAAUUUUUUUCAGACAAUUCAAGGAGGACCAAUGAGCUGGUCUUUAGGUCAGUG